CAAACCAAAGCUGGCGACCGGCGCGCGGGUGAGUAACACGUAUCCAACCUGCCUCAUACUCGGGGAUAGCCUUUCGAAAGAAAGAUUAAUAUCCGAUAGCAUAUAUUUCCCGCAUGGGUUUUAUAUUAAAGAAAUUCGGUAUGAGAUGGGGAUGCGUUCCAUUAGUUUGUUGGGGGGGUAACGGCCCACCAAGACUACGAUGGAUAGGGGUUCUGAGAGGAAGGUCCCCCACAUUGGAACUGAGACACGGUCCAA
rnacentral:rRNA from 1 species